ncrna:unclassified sequences RAGATH-12 RNA
UAGUAACACUUAUAGGAACUGUCUGGUGUGGUCACGAAAGUGGCAAUUUAAUCAUAGCUUAAUUAAAUCCUGCUAUGGGGUA